GGCGGCAGGCCUAACACAUGCAAGUCGAGCGCACCUUCGGGUGAGCGGCGGACGGGUUAGUAACGCGUGGGAACGUACCCUUUUCUACGGAAUAGCCUUUGGAAACGAAGAGUAAUACCGUAUACGCCCUUUGGGGGAAAGAUUUAUCGGAGAAGGAUCGGCCCGCGUUAGAUUAGAUAGUUGGUGGGGUAACGGCCUACCAAGUCUACGAUCUAUAGCUGGUUUUAGAGGAUGAUCAGCAACACUGGGACUGAGACACGGCCCAGACUCCUACGGGAGGCAGCAGUGGGGAAUCUUAGACAAUGGGCGCAAGCCUGAUCUAGCCAUGCCGCGUGAGUGAUGAAGGCCUUAGGGUCGUAAAGCUCUUUCGCCUGUGAUGAUAAUGACAGUAGCAGGUAAAGAAACCCCGGCUAACUCCGUGCCAGCAGCCGCGGUAAUACGGAGGGGGUUAGCGUUGUUCGGAAUUACUGGGCGUAAAGCGCACGUAGGCGGAUUGGAAAGUUGGGGGUGAAAUCCCGGGGCUCAACCCCGGAACUGCCUCCAAAACUAUCAGUCUAGAGUUCGAGAGAGGUGAGUGGAAUUCCAAGUGUAGAGGUGAAAUUCGUAGAUAUUUGGAGGAACACCCAGUGGCGAAGGCGGCUCACUGGCUCGAUACUGACGCUGA
rnacentral:rRNA from 1 species